GGGUGCUCUAAUCUGCUGCUUUUCCGUUUGUUCCUCUUUUCUGGAAGCCAGCUUCUAUCAAGGGUGGAUAACUAGGCACGGGCAGCGUGAAAACUGGUACUUCAACCCUCAGUACCUUUCCCCACCCAUUUUCAUUUAUUAAAUCUGAAACAUUACAUUUAGGCCUCCCUAUCAGGUUCAAUGGGUUCUUUAGGAAACAAGAAUUUAAAGUACCUCUAGCAUUAGUGAUGAAUAACUAUUUUACUACAUUUUGUUUAAAAAAAGUUACUCAAAAGCACAGUAUUUAAGCAAGUUAGGUGACAAAUGUCAGAGAAGAGGAUUAUUUAUUGUUUUUAGCAACUUUUCUCCUUUUUGGCAAGAAUCCUUUGGAAGAAACGGGUCAGUUUCAUGCUGCUGUUGAGAAACAUCCCAAAGACUGUGUUGGUGUUUUAGUCUGUUUUCUACAUAAGGAGUGUUUCGUGAAAGACACGCCCAAACAGCACAAGACCAGAGCUUGGGAACCUCAAUCUGUUCCAGAAACCAGAGUUCCCACAUAACUACAUAAUGUGCUGCUAUCAGGUUACAGGCUCACCACAAUUGCCUAAUGUAACAUUGAGUUCGGGGCGCUGCCGCGGGGAGGUGUAAUUACCAGGGGGAUGGCUCAGGCCGAGUGGUUGCAGUGCUCAGGAAUUAAUGUGCACAACUUAUGGGCAGACCAGUGCUCCACCUCAAUCUUCAAACACUUGGAUAUCCAGGAUUCAACUUCCCAAGGUCCUACCCUCCUCUCCAAGGGGGCAGUGGACGAUGAGCACGUGAUUCUGCAAAGUGUUUUGCUGGAUGAUGUCUAUCCACCUCACAAGCUCUACAAUUCUGGAAGUGGCAUUUUACUUCGUUUGAAUUCAAAUCUCUCCACAUUCUUUCUAAGAAUAUACUGACUCCUUUAUGCAUGGAAAACUUGGUUUGGAGUAGGGAGAGGGUAGUUUCCCCAACAAAAAUAUUGGGCAAGUUACUAUGUAUGUAUUAAGUGAAGAGAGGUAAAGGGAUAGAGAAAAAAAAGAGUGGAAAAAGUAGAAUCUCUUUCUCUCUUUUCUCCCCUCCCGCCCCCCACUGGGCUCUCCCUGUCUCUUCUAUCAAUCUGCAAAAUUACUCAUUGGAAGCUGAACUAUGGAGGUUGGGCCACCUUAAUUGGGUUUCCAAAGAUUGAGUUGAAUUGUGUCUCUUGGUGGCAUAUAGCUUGUUACCAGGGAGGGCCCUUUAAAGAUUGUAAAAUGACAGUUUGUUUUCUCUGCCUUAUCAACCUGACCUCAUAGAUCCGUAAGUCUCCCCAAGCUGCAGGUUCAAAGCUGAGCUAAUGGUCAUGAUUCAUAUUUCAAGAGUCCAUGUGUGUGAAGAGGGACCUUCCGCCUCCCCCAGCUUCCCUCCAUUCCCCGCCUUUACGCUGUCCGUGACCAAGCCGUCAGGUUGCCAGGCAGCACCUCCCUCCUGAGUUUUAUCUCCGAUGCGACUGUGUUUCCCAACCCCUCACCUCUGAGGGACUGCGGUUUGACCCGCUCAGACCUUUCGCAGAGGGUCUCACUGAGCAAUGGCUGGUGCUGGCUGCACCCAGGAAUGUUCGGGAAACCUCGCUGCUGCUGAUGCCCAGAGACUGCGGCUGGGUGCCAGCCCCACCCAGAAGAAGUUCAAGCAGUGGUGUAGCAGCAACGUUUCAGGGAUUAUGGUGUCCCAAAGUGUACUCCCUGGACCAGCAGCAUCACCGGGGAAUCUGAGAAACGCAAAUUCUCGGUGCCACCUGAGACCUACUGAAUCAGAAACCCUGGGGGUGUUGUCUCCCCGAACUCCAUGUUAACAAGGCUUCCAGAUGAUUCAGACGCACGCUCGAGGUUGGAAACCACUGUUUCAAUAGACUAUUUUCUUUCUGUAGACUUAUCUCCUUUCCCAAACCACAGCGGAUGAGUUGGAGCACCAAUGCUAAGAAAGAACCAGCCUAUUUCCAUUUUGUUCACUGACGCAAAAUCAUCUCCUCUGAAGGACACGCCUAGGAACCUACUUCCUGACUCUGAUGAUCUGCUAAUAUUCAAUGCUUUUCACCUGGCUUCUUGCUUGCCUCUCUGGGACCACAUGUGUUGGAUUCUCCGGGCCUGGAGCCAGAGGUCUGGGUGAAUAUCUGUGCAUUUCUGAGUUGACUGAAAGGCUGCAGCAGCCGUAGGCGAAGAAAACCAGGCUGCUUGAGCUCCAUGUUGUUUUUGUCUAGAAUCCAAGUUCCCUCACACUCCACAUGGCUCUUUUCAGUAGAGGAGCCUCUAGCUUUCCGAACUUGGCGUCCCCGUGGAGAGAGCACUAUGUCACUUCACGAUUCUGCCCACUUGCUGUCCUGGAUCUCAGACCUUGCUUUUCAGCAGACUUUGGGUGGGUGUUUGACUUUCUUUUUGGCGAGACAGAGGAAAUGAGCAAGUAUGUGAAAACCUUCGAAUGGCCACUCCCUAAAAGCAGCAAGAAACUCCAGAGAGUCCCACAGACUCUUGUAAAAUGCAGCCUAGAGCUCAGGGAAUGUCUGGAUUUUCUCCCCAGGGAGCUUUUUCACACUUUGGAACAUCCUUGGAGGAAACCACAGGCAUCUGGAAGGCCCUUCUGCAACAGGAGACAUGAGGAGAAACUACCUUCUGACCUACCUCAAUGUUGGAGGCAUCUGUUCCGUUUGCACUUCUCCGCUUCCUGCCCCGUUUGGGGUAGCCAUUGAUCUUACACUCAUAACAAGCCUCCGGGGAGAGAGAAUUGUCAUCCAUUUCACCGCUGGCAGGUGGCUCUGGGCCUCCUCGGCCCAUGCCGAUUCCAGAAACACAGUGCCUGUGGAAGAAGGGAAGCACAGCCCUUUUUUCAUUAGAACUGGGAGAUGAGGGAGGUGGUGCAAGAGUUCUGGUGAAGUGUGGACCCCACCUGCUGACACUGAGACAUUGAUUAUUCGUCCAUUAGGUGACUGGCUGGUUCUGAGAGCCACACUGAAGUCCUCUGUGUUUAGGCUCUGAGUCCCAGUUCCUGGAGUGGAUUCCUUUCUACUAUCUCUCAAGGUCCUGUUUUGCAUGUUUAUUUGCCCCUACAUUUCUGCCCCCCUCCCCCACUGUACCAGGUGUUUUGCUGUCCUUAUGCUGCUGGGGAGGGGACAUGGAGUAGAAAGAGGAAGAGUGGGGGAUAAGGGAGAUCAUGUAACUUGGGAGGGUAAAGAAAAAUAUCUUCUAUUUAUGAAACAGAAAGUGAGAAAGGUAUGAAAUGUCUGUGUUCAGUUCCUUGUCCUCUUCCUGUUUCAAUGACCCCAUCACCACCACCUCCACCACUACCACACUCACCAGCCCUCAUCACUUCAGCUUCUGAGCACUUUCUAUUGUUUGACCACUCAUUUUGGCUGAAGCCACUGAAGGUAUAAAGAAAGUUCUAGGUAGAACUGAAGUUGACUUAGAAAUAAACUGUAAAGAUGUGCAAUGUAUAAAAUGCAUGUAUUAGAGCUUGCCCAACUAUGGGAAAUUGUUUCAAGUCAUUCAAAACCACUAGGGCCAUUGGCUCUGACUCAUGUGAGGCUGGAUAAACAAACCCAUGCCCAAGAGAGAACUAGUUCAGCUGUUUUUCUUUGCCUUUCAGUUAUCAAAGCCAAGUUACGAAGGGAGGCUUGCAUGUUUCACAAGUACCUUGUUUUGUUAUUCUGCUUACUAUUUCAUAGGCCUCUUGGAAUGUAUUUACCAGGCUCCUUUUUCAAAAUGUGUUGAAAUAUCUGAAUGAUCCUAGGAGUCUUUAUUUUGGGGCAGGGUCCACUCUAGUGAUUCAUAGAGAAGCGCAAACUAUUAGAAGUGGGUAGAUUUCCACUAAUGGGUCACAAUGAAGACCAAAUAUUUAUCACUUUUUCUGUAUUAAUUGGCCUAUUUUUAUAACCCAUUUUUCUUGAUGCUCUUGAGAUUCAAAAUAUAAUGCCGAUAAGCAGACUACGUUUUGUGUUUUGCAGCAAUGUAUGGGUUCAUACUAGUUUUUGCAAUCCUGCCAGAGCCCAGUACUUUUCCUUUUUUCUUCCUUUAUCUUGCUGCAUGAAAUGUGCAGAAACAAAAUGGAUGAAAUGAUGACUGCUCAUCGUGUGUGUGUGUGUGUGUGUCUAUUCACAUAAUGAUUAAGUUAUUGGAAGAAAAAUCCCAAAUUUGCAGGCUUUGGUUCUUUUCUCAGAACUCCGUUCCAGUAUUUUCAUAUCCCUGGAACACCACUUACAAGAAGUGUGACUACAAAGUCCCACUGGCCAGAAGCCAGUUUGGAGUGUCACAAUUUUUGCUGGGAAAAUGGUUCUGGCAUUCAACUUAUAAAGAAUGAGACUACUGAGAGCCAGACACAAACAUCUGGGAAUUUGUGUCCUAUUGCUGGCAUUCUCUGUGCUUCCCAUGAAACAUUCUUUCACCUUCAAGUCUACACAGACCCAAAAUGAAUCGCUUGAUGUUUGUGUGUCAAGAAAUCAAAGGCCAGUACAUUACACUAAUUUGAUAUAUACACAUAUGUGUAUUAUGGAAUAUGUGAUUUUGUGGGAUGUGUAUGUGUGGCUGUACAUGUGUGUAUGUAUAUUUCAUGUCUAUGUGUUCCUAAUGAAAAUGUUAAAAUUUGAGUUCCUUAACAGCAUAGACAACACUACAUGGACAUCCAACUCUAGAUUAAUUCAGCAGGAAAAAAGGCCUACACAGUGAAAACUUACCACUAAACUUUUAAAUUACUGGCUAAAAAAAAAUAUGUCUUUUCUUCCCCAACAGUCACGCAUACAAUGUGGUAAAGUAUUCUACCAGGAGGAUACAAUAAUUAUUUUAGCUCUCGUAUUUUAUGCUCUUUUGGUAAUUCUUUAUGUAAACUUAAGUCUGAGAUGUAAAAUGUAUUUUAAAGCCAGGUGUCUUUGUGAUUUCUCCUAACGGUAGCUAGAGGAGAAGGCAUUUUAAGUCAAGAGAGAAUCCUGCUUGCCUCAGGAGAAGGGGAGAUCGGCAAUAUGCAGUGUGAGUCCAGUUCUGUCAUGGGUCAGCCCCUGCAUUUCCAGAGAAAUGAAUCACUUCCCAACAAGAUGCGAAGAUCAAGAGAAUGAGAUAGAGACACCAUAUAUCAAGGGAAAACCAGAAGACACUGUGUGUGUGACACCGGCCAGACGUCUCUACUGGGGACCGCUGGCCAGCUGGCUCUCAGCCAGCACUCAGGAAGAACUCCCAGCCAGAGAUGAUCCUCAUGGGGCCAAAGGAGAGCCUCCAGGCAACGAAGACAUGACCUGUCCAUCUCCACUAUUCCUGGACUAAAGAGGGUGAUAAUGAAGAUUUUGACAGUCACACAGAUUAUCUCCACCAGGAAUUACCAGCUGCAUCAAGCUGAGGCCCCUACCCACCUUCACAGCUGGCGCCACUCUGAUCAAGAGAGAAUCCUCGCUGACAUUCACAGGUGAAGCUCCCAGGAGUAUUCUGGCAAAUACCCUUAGACCCACACAAGUUGAUGUCAGAAGUGCAUUCAUUGUUAUCUAUAAGAAGCAGUUGGGGAAAAGUGGGAAUUAAAAUGGACUGUUUAAAAGGAAGAGAGAGGCAUGAUUCAUUUUCUGUUGUACCACUUUUUUUUUUUUUUUGAGUUUUUGUCUUCUUAUCCCAACAGAGGAACUAGAAAACAAUUCCUUAAAGGAACAGCUACGUUUCCUAUAGGGAUUUUCCUCUCCACUUACCAAUGCAGGCGGUAUGGUGUUGGGUAAAUCCAGGAGGACAUUUACAUGUGAAGCUGCCGAUGGUGUUAACACACAGGAACUGGCAGUUGUGCUGCUUAGUUGCACACUCAUCAAGAUCUAUUAAAAAAUAUGUAAGAUGAGUAUUGGAGUCAAACUGAGAGCACAGGUACCUAGCAACUGCCCUAGGAAGGAGUUCUGAGUUCUGACUUGUAUGUCUCCAAUGACUGUGGCCAGAAUAGAGAUGCAGUAAAUGGCCGGGAGGAAUCAAGCAAAUAAAGGUUUGAAAGAUAAAAUGUGGUCUCCAUUUAGACCAAAAAAUGUAGCUCUUUGGGGGAUCCAAGGAAAUCCCAAUUCCCUUCCGUGAGAGGAAUGUAGGAAUUUAUCAAGAAAGGAAUUUCAAAUAAAUUGUGACAUUUUAAAUAAAUUACACAAUGAAGUAAAAGAUUAGGGAUUCUCAAAAUUUUCCAGAGUGCUGAAAAGAUCUAUUCAAGUUGAAUUACAAAAAGAAAUGUUGAGGCUGGAAAUUAAUUUGUUUGCUUAGGUCUUUUCUGUUUGCUGUUUUGAAUCUGCUCAAAUGAGGUGUUCAACCAAAGCAAAUCAAACCAAACUGACUUUUUUUUUUUUUUUUUUUUUUAGAGAUUCUCCUUUGGUAAAACAAAAUUGAGCAAUCAAGAAGGAAGCAAAGGUAAGAAAAACUCACUCUGAUAAGCCAAUAGCACAUUUAAAAACUGCCUACAGUAUUUAUGCAACAUUAUUUUCCAUAUUUCAAAAAAUCCUCCGCUUUGACCAGGCUUCUUUCCUCAUUGCCGGAAUUUCUAGGCUCAUUCUCAACUCCACUGCUGUUUAAAGACAUCAAGAGAUACAAACUAUGUUCCAGCUUUUAGCUGAAUAUUAAUAUAAAAAAAAAAUCAUGGUGUAUUCAGGAACCAAUCUUCCUUCCUACCUUGUUUGGUCACUGCAUACAGAGCUGUGCUUGCAGCUGAAGAUAAGUGCCAGUUCCUGUCUAGAGUAACAUCUGGAGGGGACCUAAACCAAAAGAACCCCCGAGCCCCCAUAUUUCUCCCAGUGCUGACUUCUCUCAAAAUGGAGCCAGUCCCAUGCUCUUUACAUAGCUGUGGGGCUUGCUGUUUCUGCUUUUCUGGUUUCUACAUUAUCAGCAGCUCUGCGCCUCCCGACAGAAGGGUGGCCUCCCCUUUCUAUGACUCAACGAGCCUUGCUAGAGCACUGUCACACAUUUGCUGAAGCUUACCUGCACAUAGGUGAGGGAGACAGCUCAGUGAUUUCUGACACUAUUUUUCUAACUACAACAUAUUAAGAACAGCAACACUUGCUGUUCUCACCUCCAAGCACAUCUUGGCUCCCCUUCUCUCCUCUUAUCUGGAUCCUACCCAGCUCUCAUGGGGGGAAGUGGUGGUCCCACAUCUCCCCUGGGCUAUCCUUUGAGGCUCUUUUCUGUCAGUUUCAAUAGUACAUGUAUCUGCACCACACGGUUUGACCUUUAGUCCUAUGUGCCAAGUAUGUGUAAGAAUCUAGACCUCAUGAGAACAAUAGGAGAAAGGGACUUAUGUUGUAAAAGGAUCUGUAAAAAUCAUGUCCCUGCUCUUCCCACUCCUAAAACCACAAAGAAACUGUUACUUGUGCUUUUUAUACAUUGUGAAAAAACACAGUUACUACAGUACAUUUAAUUUCCAGUUUUUCUCUUUUUAGACAUUUUUAAGGAUUUUCUGCUCCCACAGGCUAGAAAAAUGCUGUAAAUUUGUUCUGCUUGGUACAGAUAGUAUCCACGCUGAGAGGUGUUUUCUCUUUAAUUUGGUUCUCUAUUUCCAUGAAUAAGUUUAUUGCUCUGAGCUCUAGCCUUACCUUGCCCAGAGCUCAUUGUGAUCCACAGAUUGAGAAGUUCUAUGCUUGAGAAGAACAAAGCUGUAAACAACUCUUGUAUUAAGAGAGUCAGAAUUUUUAACUACGUCUCUCAACUUCCUCCCCCCAAAUUACAGGAUUAUAUAGGAUUUGUGUUGCAUAGGGAAACCUCAUGCAUUGUUCAUUAUGUCAUCCUAUAUUAUAAGCCUCUUAAUUCUCUCUAAGCAGACACAAGAAAGGGGUUGAGGGUCCUAAUUCUCUUUGCUCUCCACUUCCAUUCCACCCCACCAUUUAACUUCCCUUGUUUGCUUUUUGCUCCAUCAAGGUUUCGUGGCAGUACUUUCUAGCUCUUAUUCUACCAUCUGGUCUACCUUUCCUGUUCCAAAUCCCUCACUUUUAAAAUUACCCUUAAGGCACCUUUUGGGAUGAGCACUGGGUGUUGUAUGGAAACCAAUUUGUCAAUAAAUUUCAUAUAUAAAAAAUAAAUAAAUAAAAAAAAUAAAA